UUUAAAUGAGAGUUUAACUCAAAAUAUUUUAUUUUAUAAUCCCUUUAUAAAUACUUGAAAUAAAGAACUCCAUUUAAAUAAUUAAUUUAAAGGUCAAUAUAUAAUUAAAUUAAUCAAGCUCAAUUUAAAUUAAUAAUUAAGAGCUCAAAUAAUUUAAAUAGAUAUAAGCCCAAAUUAAUUAGAUAAAUUAAGUCUAUCAUGUUUUUCUUUGAAUAAGCCCCAAACAAUUAAAUUAAAAUAGGCCCAAAUAAGAAAGCCCAAAAUUUUCGGCCCAAACCCGGCUCAAACCCGGCCCAAACCCAGUUGAAACCCGGCCCAAACCCAGCUCCCCUUUCUAACCUAAAUAUACACACACACUAAAUACACUCAAACACACACAUUAGCUGCGCCUCUCUCUCUCUAUCUCUAUCUCUCGGCUCUCUCUCUCCCUAUUCUCUCUGCUCUCUCUCUUUACUCUCUCUCUGCUCUCUCUCUUCGUUCGGCUGAGGGCGGCGCCGCCUCCGGCGCGCCGCCUCGCCGUCGCCUCCUCCCCUCCUCUCCUUCGGCCACCGCGACCAGCCACCAGGUGUCGCCACCCUCGACUCCCUCGCUCCCUCGGCCGCUGGAACCAGGCGCAGCAGCGCAACCACGCCGGUGUGCCGCCAUCGCCGGGCCGCCGCCUGCUCCCUCAUCCUCGCGGCAGAUCCGCCGCCGCCGUUCAACGCCACGGCCGCCUGGAGCUGCUGCUGUUCGCCUGAGGUCGACGGAUCUGGCCUUCAGUCGUUCGUCUUGCUCGGAGUUCCCGCCGCCGUUGGCUUGCCCGGAGUCGCCGCUGGCUGGCCCGCGAUCGACGGCCAGCAGCUCGCUGGAGGAGCCGAGCACCGUCUCACAAAGAUCGGAGACAACCGCGGCUCCGUCGCCGUCCGUCAACCGCCGGCGACGACGAGCCACCGAGGCUGCCCUCCCCCUGACCUCGACUCACACACGCAAUCAGCCAACACAAAGGGUUUUUUUGUGCGAGAAUCAUAUACUGUAAUUGCUCAAAUAAAAGUUUUAACUCUUUCCUUGUAACUUCAGUUCACAAGUACAUAUUUAGUAACUGUAAAUCUAUGAAUUUGCUACUCAUUUUCUUCAUUUAUCAAAGCAUAUGUAAAUCUGAGUUAAUGAGCAUGUGUUGGUAUUCUGGAGUUGAUGUAUACAAUUGAAGGAUAUUAUAAUAUAUAAAUUAGAAAUAUAAA